rnacentral:rRNA from 1 species
UGGGGAAUAUUGCGCAAUGGGGGAAACCCUGACGCAGCCAUGCCGCGUGAGUGACGAAGGCCUUAGGGUUGUAAAGCUCUUUCGCUAGGGAAGAUAAUGACGGUACCUAGUAAAGAAGCCCCGGCUAACUCCGUGCCAGCAGCCGCGGUAAUACGGAGGGGGCUAGCGUUGUUCGGAAUCACUGGGCGUAAAGCGCGCGUAGGCGGAUUGAUUAGUUGGGGGUGAAAUCCCGGGGCUCAACCUCGGAACUGCCUUCAAUACUGUCAGUCUUGAGUUCGUGAGAGGUAAGUGGAAUUCCGAGUGUAGAGGUGAAAUUCGUAGAUAUUCGGAAGAACACCAGUGGCGAAGGCGACUUACUGGCACGAUACUGACGCUGAGGUGCGAAAGCGUGGGGAGCAAACAGG